rnacentral:lncRNA from 1 species
GUGUGAGAAGCGGAUUUUGGCGACCGUGACCAGGGCAGGACAUCCCUUCCUGGUGAACCUUUUCGGCUGUUUCCAGACCCCAGAGCAUGUGUGCUUUGUGAUGGAGUACUCAGCCGGUGGGGACUUGAUGCUGCAUAUCCACAGCGACGUGUUCUCAGAGCCUCGGGCUGUCUUCUAUUCGGCCUGUGUGGUGCUGGGACUGCAGUUCCUCCAUGAACACAAGAUUGUCUACAGGUGUGUAUGUGAGAACAUGUUCUGCCCACAGACUGGACAUGGUCAAGCUCUGCACAAAGCCCCGAUCCCUACCCAGUCACCCUCUUUACAUCCCCUGACACCCCAUUCCCCAGGGACCUGAAGUUGGACAAUUUGCUCCUGGAUACUGAGGGCUACGUCAAGAUCGCAGACUUUGGCCUCUGCAAGGAGGGUGAGGGGCUGCAAUCCUGGGAUGAGAGGAAUAGGGGGUGGGCUACCGUCUGGUGCAGCUGUACCUGGGUGGUCAGAUGACAUUUUCUUCUCUAUGGGCUUUGCUGUCAGCCACCUGCUCACCCUAGCAGCUUCAGGAUAGUUCGCCAGCUCUAGCCCCAUCUGGGUCACCCCAUACUGACUCGGGGUAGGGCUGGCUGGAUGUUUGGAGUAUCUCAUGCUCCUGCUUCCCUUAGCUACUAUAGGCUCACAUGGCCUUGCUCUCCAUCCCACCCAGGGAUGGGCUAUGGGGACCGGACCAGCACAUUCUGCGGAACUCCGGAGUUCCUGGCGCCGGAAGUGCUCACAGACACAUCCUACACUCGAGCCGUGGACUGGUGGGGACUGGGUGUAUUGCUCUAUGAGAUGCUGGUUGGAGAGUCUCCGUUCCCUGGGGACGACGAGGAGGAAGUAUUUGAC